GCCCCGCUAGCUCAGUGGAUAGAGCAUCUGUCUUCUAAACAGAGGGUCUGAGGUUCGAAUCCUCAGCGGGGCACCA
rnacentral:tRNA from 1 species